rnacentral:rRNA from 1 species
UACGUAGGGGGCAAGCGUUGUCCGGAAUCAUUGGGCGUAAAGCGCGUGUAGGCGGCUAGAUAAGUCGGGCGUGAAAUCCCACGGCUCAACCGUGGAAGUGCACUCGAAACUGCAUAGCUAGAGUCCUGGAGAGGAAGGUGGAAUGCUUGGUGUAGAGGUGAAAUUCGUAGAUAUCAAGCGGAACACCGGUGGCGAAGGCGGCCUUCUGGACAGUGACUGACGCUGAGGCGCGAAAGCCAGGGGAGCAAACGGG